AUUCUUUUGUAGUUCAUAAGUGUAAUGAUUGGGUGUUCACACACGUGUAAGAUGUGCCACCCUCAAACCUUGUUAUGAUGUCGGCACACUACCUGACUGAUG